rnacentral:rRNA from 1 species
AUUGAACGCUGGCGGCAGGCCUAACACAUGCAAGUCGAGCGGAGCGGCGGACGGGUGCGUAAUGCCUAUUAAUCUGCCUGGUAGUGGGGGAUAACGUCCGGAAACGGGCGCUAAUACCGCAUACUCUCAGAUGAGCCUAGGUCGGAUUAGCUAGUUGUUGUGUUAAAGGCCUACCAAGUCGACGAUCCGGAUCUGGUCUUAGAGGAUGAUCAGUCACACGGGAAGUUGGACACGGUCCAGACUCCGACGGGAGGCAGCAGUGGGGAAUAAUGGACAAUUGGCGAAAGCCUGAUCCAGCCAUGCCGAGUGUGUGAAGAAGGUCUUCGGAUUGUAAAGCACUUUAAGUUGAGAGGCGUUACCAACAGCAUAAGCACCGGCUAACUUCGUGCCAGCAGCCGCGGUAAUAC